rnacentral:rRNA from 1 species
CGUGUAGGCGGCGUGUUAAGUCUGACUUUAAAGACCGGGGCUCAACCUCGGAAGUGGGUUGGAUACUGGCAGGCUAGACCUCUGGAGAGAGAACCGGAAUUCCUGGUGUAGCGGUGGAAUGCGUAGAUACCAGGAGGAACACCGAUGGCGAAGGCAGGUUCUUGGACAGAAGGUGACGCUGAGGCGCGAAAGUGUGGGGAGCGAACC